CCUAUGGGGGGCAGCAGGGACGAAAAUUCCGCAAUGCGCGAAAGCGUGACGGGGUUAAUCCGAGUGAUCGGCGAAAGCCGUUCUUUUGGCAGGUUUGAAACGCCUGCAGAAUAAGGGGUGGGUAAAUCUCGUGCCAGCCGCCGCGGUAAUACGAGUAGCCCAAGUGUUGUCCACGAAUAUUGAGCCUAAAGCGAGUGUAGCCGGAUGCGCACGUCCUCCGUGAAAUCUUCCCGCCUAACGGGAAGGCUUGCGGGGGAUACGACGCGUCUUGGGAAUGGGGGAGACCCGGGGUACGAUAGGGGGAGGAGUAAAAUCCUGUAAUCCUUAUCGGACCAUUAGUGGCGAAGGUGCCGGGCCAAAACAUGUCCGACGGUGAGACUCGAAGGCUAGGGGAGCGAACGGGAUUAGAUACCCGGGUAGUCC
rnacentral:rRNA from 1 species